ensembl:snRNA
AUGUUGUGUGAAAGGAAUGAAGGUUAGCACUCUCCUUGACAAGGAUGGAAGAGGUCCUUGGGCCUGACAACAUGCAUGGUUAAGACAUCGCCACCUACUUCUUGGCAUCUAACCCUUGUUUUUC